UACGAAGGUCCCAAGCGUUGUUCGGAAUCACUGGGCGUAAAGGGAGCGUAGGCGGCGUGGUAAGUCAGAUGUGAAAUCCCGGGGCUCAACCCCGGAACUGCAUCCGAUACUGCCAUGCUAGAGGAUUGGAGAGGUAGCUGGAAUUCUUGGUGUAGCAGUGAAAUGCGUAGAGAUCAAGAGGAACACUCGUGGCGAAAGCGGAGCUACGUGGACAUUCCUGACGCUGAGGCUCGAAGGCUAGGGUAGCGAAAGGG
rnacentral:rRNA from 1 species